CUACGGGCGGCAGCAGUGAGGAAUAUUGCACAAUGGAGGAAGCUCUGAUGCAGCAACGCCGCGUGGAGGAUGACGCAUUUCGGUGUGUAAACUCCUUUUAUGAGUCAAGAAAAUGACGGUAGCUCAUGAAUAAGCACCGGCUAACUCCGUGCCAGCAGCCGCGGUAAUACGGAGGGUGCAAGCGUUACUCGGAAUCACUGGGCGUAAAGGACGCGUAGGCGGGAUAUCAAGUCAGGUGUGAAAUCCUACAGCUUAACUGUAGAACUGCACUUGAAACUGGUAACCUAGAGUAUGGGAGGGGGAGAUGGAAUUAGUGGUGUAGGGGUAAAAUCCGUAGAUAUCACUAGGAAUACCUAAAGCGAAGGCGAUCUCCUGGAACAUAACUGACGCUAAGGCGUGAAAGCGUGGGGAGCAAACAGGAUUAGAUACCCUAGUAGUC
rnacentral:rRNA from 1 species